rnacentral:rRNA from 1 species
UACAGAGGUCCCAAGCGUUGUUCGGAUUCACUGGGCGUAAAGGGUGCGUAGGUGGUAAGGUAAGUCGGAUGUGAAAUCUCCGAGCUCAACUCGGAAAAUGCAUUGGAAACUACCUUGCUUGAGGGUUGGAGGGGGGACUGGAAUACUUGGUGUAGCAGUGAAAUGCGUAGAUAUCAAGUGGAACACCAGUGGCGAAGGCGAGUCCCUGGACAACUCCUGACACUGAGGCACGAAAGCUAGGGGAGCAAACAGG